UCUGGCCGGUGAGUGUGGAGACGCAGCGCCACUGCUCUCUGCAAACAAACAGGGUUUGCCCAGCGCUCGGGCCAUCAGUGUGACGACAGAUGAGCCAGCCAGCUCUUCAGUCUCUUCCUAACAGGACAUGGUAUGUUCAAGCCACUUGUGCAACACGGAGCUGGUGUAGAUGAGGGACUUGACUGGCUGUCAAAUGAGUUUUCAAAACGUUAAAUGAAACUAGACAUCUAACCAAAGACAUGUUUGAUAAAAUUGGUCUAGACUUGCUACAGCAAAAUUUGUUUGUAUCUUGGUUAAGAAACAGCAUCUGGGACUGGCUUGGGCAGAAUAAUAAACUUAUUUUGUUGCCAAUUAUUGUUUGCCAAAUAUAAUGUUGUUAUUUAGCAAUGUGCUUGGUUUUAAAGAAAUUCUUCUUGGGAAAAAGGUGUCCUCAUUUACUUCCCAUGAGCCUAAAGCCUGGACAUAGUUAUUGUAAAACCUUUAAAUAAAUCCACCUUGGAAGUUAAGAUACAUAAAAAUAAAUAAGGUGGGGCGUGGUGGCUCACGCCUGUGGGAGCACUGUCUGUGAGGAGGUGAAUCCCUUGAGCUUGUUGGAGACAAGGCUGGGCAACAUGGUGAACCUUGCCUCUAUUUAAAAAAAAAAAAAAAAAAAGGCCGUGCACGGUGGCUCAUGCCUGUAAUCCCAGCAUUUUGGGAGGCCGAGGCGGGGGGAUCAUGAGGUCAGGAGAUCGAGACCAUCCUGGCUCACAUGGUGAAACCCCAAACCCCGUCUCUACUAAAAAAAUUAGCUGGGCAUGGUGGCACGUGCCUGUAAUCCCAGCUACUCGGGAGGCUGAGGCAGAAGAAUCGCUUGAACCCAGGAGGCGGACGUUGCAGUGAACCAACAUCGUGCCACCGUACUCCAGCCUGGGUGACAGAGACUCCAUCUAAAAAGAAAAAAAAAGAAAAAAAAAAUUCGGCUGGGCACGGUGAUUCACACCUGUAAUCCCAGCACUUUGGGAGGCCGAGGCAGGCAGAUCACUUGAGGUCAGGAGCUCGAGACCAGCCUGGCCAACAUGGUGAAACCCUGUCUCUACCAGAAAAAUACAAAAAAUAGCCAGGCAUCGUGGCAUGUGCCUGUAAUCCCAGCUGCUUGGGUGGCUGAGGUAGGAGAAUCGUUUGAACCCAGGAGGCAGAGGUGGCAGUGAGCCGAGAUCGCACCACUGCACUCCAGCCUGGGUGACAGAGCAAGACUCCGCCUCAAAAACAAACAAAUAAAUAAAUAAAUAAAUAAAUAAAAUAAAGCACUGACUCACCAUUUUCUUUUCCCAGAUUAUCCAGAGCACUUGGGCAAAAGCCUCCACCCCAUUUUUACUAGAAUGUUCAAUGGCAGCCUUGGUUCCAGAGGCACUUGGUUGAAUUUUGCCCAUUGAUGCUCAUUUGCAUGAAUUAUCAGCGCCUCUUUCCCGUGAGAAACGGUUACCAAUGCUUUUAAAUCAAAGGCAAUCAAAGAUCCAGCUCCAGAAAACCCAGAACCAGCUUUGAUCACUCCACAUCACGGAACAGAAAAAUCAAUUGGCCCAGGAGUCCAAGAAGCUACAGGAGGAUGAGAGGAAGGGGAGCAGUUGCCGGCAGGCCUGGUGACCCUGCCCUGCUCAACCUUCCAAGAAUUUGAGAGAGAAAGAAAGAAAAAAAACCCUGCUUGCUGCGGUCUGAGUUUGUAUCCCUCCAAGAUUCAUACUGAAACCUAAUCUGCACUGUGGUGGCAUUAAGAAGAGGGGUCUUUAAAACAAUGGCCGGGUGCGGUGGCUCACGCCUGUAAU
rnacentral:lncRNA from 1 species